rnacentral:rRNA from 1 species
UACGUAGGGUGCGAGCGUUACUCGGAAUUACUGGGCGUAAAGCGUGCGCAGGCGGUUUUUUAAGCCGGCUGUGAAAUCCCCAGGCUAAACCUGGGAACUGCGUCCGAUACUGGCAGGCUUGAAUCCGGGAGAGGGAUGUGGAAUUCCAGGUGUAGCGGUGAAAUGCGUAGAUAUCUGGAGGAACACCGGUGGCGAAGGCGGCAUCCUGGACCGGCAUUGACGCUGAGGCGCGAAAGCUAGGGGAGCAAACGGG